UUCUUUUUUUUAGAUAAAUGAUAUAGUUUCAGAGAACAAACUUGAUUGAAUUUUUUUCUCUCUCUCUUUUGCAGCGAUGGCUGUGGAUAGCAGGAAGAGAGCUCUGGAGCUCCUGGGCUAGGUAUGGCCAUUUAUUUAGAUCUUUUUAAGCUAGGUUGGCAUGCAUUUAUUUUUCCUUAGGACUAAUAUGUGAAUAUAAGAUUUGGGUUUACUAGAUGCCGG
rnacentral:lncRNA from 1 species